ACGUUUCUCUCCACAUACUCUCAAACCAAAACCACUUUCACCAUCAUAUCACUAUCUUGAUCAUCUAAAUAAUUUCUAAGUUCUUCACUCCUCCAAUUUCGUGUGACGUUAAUGGUAAGGUAUUUCCACCAUUUUUCAUAUAUUCCUCCUAUUAGUGGAUUGUCCCUGGUUUGAUCUUUUGAAGCGUUUAAUUCAAAUUCUUGUGAGACCUUAUUGUAGAUCUGGAGAGCUUUAUUCUAGAGCUUGUGUUACAAUAAAAGUGCCUAUGGUGGAGUAACUCCGAAACAUUCCUCUAGCUAUCCAGCAAAAAUACCUAUCAAUGAGGCUAGAGCCGGAACUUCUAUUACUAUCAUGUGGAUUUCACUUUUAGGAAAAUCCCAUCCAGCCUGAACCUGGAGCCUGCAAGGGACUUGACUUAUUUGAAAUAAUUUAUGUAAUCUUACUUAAUGAUAUACUAGUCAUAUUGCAAAAGAAUACAGCCAUACAAUUCAGUAUAAACACAACAUCAACACUAACACAUAAUAGGGAAACUAAGCAUACAAGUGUCAGUCAAAAUAGUCAUCAAUUAACUUUACAAUUACCCCAGGUCAUAAUAGGGAGACUAUACGAUUACUCCAGGUCGAUCCCACAUUAAUGUCAUCACAUCGGAGACUAAUUUUCAAAUAAACUUAGAUCUCUCAUGGAGUAAUUUUCAAGUAGUCAGUGUAUGCACAAUUGCAAUUACUAAAAAAAGUUGUCCUUGAGCUAACAUUAAUAUGGGAUCAAUGUGAAUCAUGACAUGUCCUAAUAACAAGUCACAUCAUAACCUCUAACAAUAGAGAUAAAAUAAAUUUGAUCGAUGCUUAUGAUUUUGAGGACUAAUUUAUUUUUCACUCUAUAAAUGUUAUUGAAAAAAUAGAUUGUCGAUAUUGAUCAAUCUCCGCCACUGGCAAGACAGAAUUAUGAGAUAUCAAGACUUACAUGAGGUAAAGGCUGGAAUAUCAUUUAGCUGAUCAUGUGAAUCUCUAGCAGAUACUGAACCACUUACACCUGUUAUUCUUCUUAUAUUCCCAUAAAUUGGUUUUCUAAAAUUUGUUCUUCGAGUAUCUUGGCUAAGAAUUUGUUUUGGAGCUAAACUUUCAUCCUUAAAAUUUUCAACAUCAGAUGCCACAAGAUAUUCUUGGUAUAUGUCUGCAUACAAAAAAAAUUACAUAUUUAUCUUUGUACCAUGUGUUAUGCAAAUGCUACAACAUGAAGAAUUUUGUGUUAAA